rnacentral:tRNA from 1 species
GCGGGUGUGGCGGAAUUGGCAGACGCGCCAGAUUUAGGUUCUGGUGCCGUAAGGCGUAUGGGUUCAAGUCCCUUCGCCCGCACCA